AUUGAACGCUGGCGGUAUGCUUAACACAUGCAAGUCGAACGAUGAGAAAGAGCUUGCUCUUUCGAUUAGUGGCGGACGGGUGCGUAACGCGUAGGAAUCUACCUAUUAGUGGGGGACAACUUAGGGAAACUUAAGCUAAUACCGCAUACGCCCUACGGGGGAAAGAAGGGGAUCGCAAGACCUUUUGCUAAUAGAUGAGCCUGCGUAGGAUUAGCUAGUUGGUGGGGUAAAAGCUCACCAAGGCGACGAUCCUUAACUGGUUUGAGAGAAUGAUCAGUCACACUGGAACUGAGACACGGUCCAGACUCCUACGGGAGGCAGCAGUGGGGAAUAUUGGACAAUGGGCGAAAGCCUGAUCCAGCAAUACCGCGUGUGUGAAGAAGGCCUUAGGGUUGUAAAGCACUUUCAAUUGGAAGGAAAACCUCGAAGCUAAUACCUUCGAGUUUGACAUUACCUUUAGAAGAAGCACCGGCUAACUCCGUGCCAGCAGCCGCCGCAG
rnacentral:rRNA from 1 species